rnacentral:rRNA from 1 species
AAGCGUGUAGGUGUGUGUUCCAGGUAAAUCCGGUUCACUUUAACACUGAGGCGUGACGACGAGGCACUACGGUGCUGAAGCAACAAAUGCCCUGCUUCCAGGAAAAGCCUCUAAGCAUCAGGUAACAUCAAAUCGUACCCCAAACCGACACAGGUGGUCAGGUAGAGAAUACCAAGGCGCUUGAGAGAACUCGGGUGAAGGAACUAGGCAAAAUGGUGCCGUAACUUCGGGAGAAGGCACGCUGACACGUAGGUGAAGUGAUUUACUCAUGGAGCUGAAGUCAGUCGAAGAUACCAGCUGGCUGCAACUGUUUAUUAAAAACACAGCACUGUGCAAACACG